rnacentral:snoRNA from 1 species
CUACAUAGGAAUCCACUGAGUGUGAGAUCCGGCGUCUAAAACCAGUGGGGCCUCAGCUCACCACCUGGCCAGUGUGUGCAGGUGGAAACCCGGGCCCCAUCCGAC